rnacentral:tRNA from 1 species
UGUUUCUGCCAGGGCUCGAACCUGGGACCCCUUCCGCGUGUUAGGCGGAUGUGAUAACCACUACACCACAGAAAC